rnacentral:rRNA from 1 species
GAUGAACGCUGGCGGCGUGCCUAAUACAUGCAAGUCGAGCGAACAGACGAGGAGCUUGCUCCUCUGACGUUAGCGGCGGACGGGUGAGUAACACGUGGAUAACCUACCUAUAAGACUGGGAUAACUUCGGGAAACCGGAGCUAAUACCGGAUAAUCUAUUGAACCGCAUGGUUCAAUAGUGAAAGACGGUUUUGCUGUCACUUAUCGAUGGAUCCGCGCCGCAUUAGCUAGUUGGUAAGGUAACGGCUUACCAAGGCAACGAUGCGUAGCCGACCUGAGAGGGUGAUCGGCCACACUGGAACUGAGACACGGUCCAGACUCCUACGGGAGGCAGCAGUAGGGAAUCUUCCGCAAUGGGCGAAAGCCUGACGGAGCAACGCCGCGUGAGUGAUGAAGGUCUUCGGAUCGUAAAACUCUGUUAUUUGGGAAGAACAAAUGUGUAAGUAACUAUGCACGUCUUGACGGUACCUAAUCAGAAAGCCACGGCUAACUACGUG